rnacentral:lncRNA from 1 species
CUUUUUUCCUUUUUUUUUUUUUCCCGGGGAGUCGGCCUCGGGGCUCUGCUCUCCUACCUCAGUCUGCCCUACCCUGGAAUGGGGAAAAUGCGGACAUGCCACUCAGUCCGGCCGCGAACAGUGCUCCAGAACUCAGAGAGUUUUCCAGACGGGUGGAGAUCGCGUUCCCUGCCCGCCGAGGUCCCAUCGCUUCCCUGCUGGGAAGACAAAUGAGGCGCUUUAGCCGUCUCCACGGCCAGCCCCUCCCUCAUAACCCGAGAUUCUUUGUGGGCUCUUAGUCCAUAGCUGCCUUUGAGGUGGUGUAGACCUUGCUAACCAGGACGGCCCAGUAGGCAGAGCUCAUUUUUAUUCCUGUCUGCAAUCGUGCAAAAACGCCUCUUAUGGAAAAGCCAGAGCGCCAGGAGUCAGCAAAACACACUAAAGAUUGGGCAGUCACUGGGGAGAACAUGGCCUGAAGCAACUGAAGAUCCACAAAAGAAGUGAAAAUAGCCUUAACUGAUGACAUUCCACCAUUGAGAUUUGUUCCUGCCCCACCCUAACUGAUACGAUAUAUUCUCCCCCGCCCUUAAGAAGACUCAGCCCGCCUGCACCCAGGUGAAAUAUACAGCCUUGUUGCUCACACAAAGCCUGUUUGGUGGUUUCUUCACACGGAUGCAUGUGACAUUUGGUGCUGAAGACCCAGGACAGGAGGACUCCUUUGGGAGACCAGUGCCCUGUUGUCGCCCUCACUCCGUGAGGAGAUCCACCUAUGAUCUCAGGUCCUCAGACCAACCAGCCCAAGGAACAUCUUGCCAAUUUCAAAUCGGAAGAUAGGAGUGUCAGGCCUCUGAGUCCAAGCUAAGCCAUCAAAUCCCCUGUGACCUGCACGUGUACAUCCAGAUGACCUGAAGCAACUGAAGAUCCACAAAAGAAGUGAAAGUAGCCUUAACUGAUGACAUUCCACCAUUGUGAUUUGUUCCUGCCCCACGCUAACUGAUACCAUAUAUUCUUCCCCCGCCCUUGAGAAUGUACUUUGUACACCUAUCCCAAACCUAUAAGAACUAAUGAUAAUCCUACCACCCUUUGCUGACUCUCUUUUUGGACUCAGCCCGCCUGCACCCAGGUGAAAUAAACAGCCCUGUUGCUCACACAAA